GACGAACGCUGGCGGCGUGCUUAACACAUGCAAGUCGAACGGAAAGGCCCGGAUUUUGUGUGGUGCUCGAGUGGCGACUGGGUGAGUAACCCGAGAGUAACCUGACCUUGACUUUGGGAUAACUUAAUGUAACUGGGGCUAAUACCCGAUAGAAGCUCCUCCUGGAUGGUGGGGGAGGGAAGGUUUCGGCGGUGGGGGCUGGUCUCGAGGCUUCUCAGCUUGUUGGUGGGGUCGUGGAGAACAAAGGCUUGGACGGGUAGCCGGCCUGCGACGGUGACCGGCCACAUGGGGACUGAGAUACGGCCCAGACUCCAACGGGAGGCAGCAGUGGGGAAUAUUGCACAAUGGGCGGAAGCCUGACGCAGCAACGCCGCGUGCGGGAUGACGGCCUUCGGGUUGUAAACCGCUUUCGCCUGUGACGAAGCGUGAGUGACGGUAAUGGGUAAAGAAGCACCGGCUAACUACGUG
rnacentral:rRNA from 1 species